rnacentral:rRNA from 1 species
GCUGUCGUCAGCUCGUGUUGUGAAAUGUUGGGUUAAGUCCCGCAACGAGCGCAACCCUUAUCCUUUGUUGCCAGCACGUAAUGGUGGGAACUCAAAGGAGACUGCCGGUGAUAAACCGGAGGAAGGUGGGGAUGACGUCAAGUCAUCAUGGCCCUUACGAGUAGGGCUACACACGUGCUACAAUGGCAGAUACAAAGAGAAGCGACCUCGCGAGAGCAAGCGGAACUCAUAAAGUCUGUCGUAGUCCGGAUUGGAGUCUGCAACUCGACUCCAUGAAGUCGGAAUCGCUAGUAAUCGUAGAUCAGAAUGCUACGGUGAAUACGUUCCCGGGCCUUGUACACACCGCCCGUCACACCAUGGGAGUGGGUUGCAAAAGAAGUAGGUAGCUUAACCUUCGGGAGGGCGCUUACCACUUUGUGAUUCAUGACUGGGGUGAAGUCGUAACAAGGUAACCGUAGGGGAACCUGCGGUUGGAUCAC